GAUGAACGCUGGCGGCGUGCCUAAUACAUGCAAGUCGAGCGAACGGACGAGAAGCUUGCUUCUCUGAUGUUAUCGGCGGACGGGUGAGUAACACGUGGAUAACCUACCUAUAAGACUGGGAUAACUUCGGGAAACCGUAGCUAAUACCGGAUAAUAUUUUGAACCGCAUGGUUCAAAAGUGAAAUACGGUCUUGCUGUCACUUAUAGAUGGAUCCGCGCUGCAUUAGCUAGUUGGUAAGGUAACGGCUUACCAAGGCAACGAUGCAUAGCCGACCUGAGAGGGUGAUCGCCCACCUUGGAACUGAGACACGGCCCAGACUCCUACGGGAGGCAGCAGUAGGGAAUCUUCCGCGAUGGGCGAAAGCCUGACGGAGCAACGCCGCGUGAGUGAUGAAGGUCUUCGGCUCGUAAAACUCUGUUAUUAGGGAAGAACAUAUGUGUAAGUAACUGUGCACAUCUUGACGGUACCUAAUCAGAAAGCCACGGCUAACUACGUG
rnacentral:rRNA from 1 species